rnacentral:tRNA from 1 species
GCUCUCGUAGCUUAACGGAUAGAGUACUGGCCUCCGAAGCCGGUGAUACCAGUUCAAUUCUGGUCGAGAGCA